rnacentral:lncRNA from 1 species
GGGCUGAAUAAUUCUAAAGAUAAUUCUUUUGACCUAAAUGGAGUUAUAGGUGGGAUGAAUUUGGCUCUUCAUUUCCCACCACUCCCUCAUUAUGCAGCCUGCUCUUUGUAUUCUCCUCAUCCCUCAUUCCUCUCUUUUGUCUAGGCUGUGUACAGAGCCUUAUAGAUUGACUGUAUGUGGCAACUGCACCCUACAGAACCUGGAACGCAUGGGGCAGAGAUAAUAUCUAUUAACGUCUUUGUAAAGCUCUGUAAAGCUCCAGAGUCAUUUGAUGCACCAGCAAGCUUUGUUUUAUUUGGUCCAAAACUGUUUCCUGACUCCACUCCUAGAAUAAUGAUCAAGAUAUAGGAACUCCAGUUGUUCUUAGUGACAUUAAUAUCUCUCUGUGAAAACUUUCAUACCGUUGGACUACACACGGU